rnacentral:rRNA from 1 species
GUCUAUGGCCAUGCUACCCUGAACACACCCAAUCCCGUCUGAUCUCUGAAGCUAAGCCGGGUCGGGCCCGGUUAGUACUUGGAUGGGAGACCACGUAGAAAGACCAAGUACUAUAGGCG